CCCUUAGAUGUUCUGGGCCGCACGCGCGCUACGCUGAUGCAUUCAACGAGUUCCUACCUUGGCCGAGAGGCCUGGGCAAUCUUGUUAACGUGCAUCGUGAUAGGGAUAGAUUAUUGAAAUUAUUAAUCUUGAACGAGGAAUUCCUAGUAAACGCAGAUCAUCAAUCUGCAUUGAUUACGUCCCUGCCCUUUGUACACACCGCCCGUCGCACCUACCGAUUGGAUGGUCCGGUGAAGCCUCGGGAUUGUGGUUCUUGCCGCUUUAUUGUGGCGUGACCGCGAGAACUUGUCUAAACCUUAUCAUCUAGAGGAAGGUGAAGUCGUAACA
rnacentral:rRNA from 1 species